AAGGCUUCAGUACGACCCAGUCAGAACUAUAAGUCUCAAAGCCCCGACGAGUAGGGUGGCGUGCCGGUGCGCGUUGAAGGCCAAGACGUGAGUCAGGCUGGAGCCGCCGGUAGUGCAGAUCUUGGUGGUAGUAGCAAGUACUCUGGUGAACCAACCUGGAGCUGUGAGGUCUGGAUCAGGGUUCCAUGUCAACAGUGAUUGAACAUGGGUGAGUCGAUCCUAAGCCAACUGUGAAAGCAGUGACAUCCCGACAAAGGGGCAUUACAUGCGCUUUCUCUCUCGCUGGCACUGUCUGUAUGACGAUAAAGUGUCUGUCUGGUACGGAAAACGCGCGCACGCACGGUGAUCACUACAAANANANGUGAGAGUGUGNGCGCNNNAGAAAAAGCGAGAGAGAUGAGAGUUAUAGCUCCUGCAUGAGCCCCCUGCGUCUGGUUCUAUGUCUGGCGAAAGGGAAUGGGGACUUUGUUCCUUGACCGGUCCCGGCACCCUCGAUUGGCUUUGCCAAUUAAUGGUCCAUGCAAAUGGAACCAGGCCACAGCCGCCGGCAGUCGCCCGAGGAAGAGUUUUCUUUUCUGCUUAACGCACGAGGUCAUCCCUGGAAACAGUUCGGCUGGCGAAAGGGUGCCCCGUUGCGGCAGAGCGCCACGACUGUCGUGCGCGUCUCGGUGUUCCUGCCGGUCCGUGAAGACGUGGUCGAGGGGAUUGCUCUUGUAUCAACGAAACGCCCGACAAGUUCGGGACGGACCGUACCCUAUAUCCGCAUCUGGUCUCCAAGGUUCGUAGCCUCUGCAGAGUCAGACACAUGUAGGUAAGGGAAGUCGGCAAACUCGAUCCGUAACUUCGGGAAAAGGAUUGGCUCUGAGGGCCGAGCUGGGCCGGGCCUUGCCUGCAAAGCAGUACCUAUAGUGACCGGAGUUUCAGGAGUGCGAGGGGCUCUAGUAGCUGCUUGGGCGUGUGUGCGUUCGCGCGUGCGCGCGUGUGGGCACGAACGAGUCCACCGCUCCGCUCCAACCACGAACGGCUGUGACGGCAAGGGCUCUGGGCGGGAGCGAUCAAUCCGUUGGCCCCCAGCUCGUCUGGGUGGCGGCGGUGCUCCGUCUGACCCAUACGGCUCCAGCGGCUAGCGGCUAACUCAGAACUGUCAUGGACCAAGGGAAUCCGACUGUCUAAUUAAAACAAAGCGUCGUGACGGCCCCUGUUGGGUGUUGACGCGACGUGAUUUC
rnacentral:rRNA from 1 species